GUUCAACAUUGUUGAAAAGUUGUUUGAAAAGACUUAUUCAUUACCAUGAGAACAGUAUGUGGGAAACUGCCCCCAUGACUCAAUGAUUUCCCACUGGCACCCUCCCACAACACGUGGGAAUUAUGGAAGCUGCAAUUCAAGAUGAGAUUUGGGUGGAGACACAGCCAAACCAUAUCAUUGACUGACUUAAAUUCAACAGAACUGUGCUUUGGAGGACAUCGUUGCGCUGCUGACUUCUAACACUGAGGUGAUCCUGCCUUAUCCUGGAGAAAGAAAUGUUAUGCAAGAGGCCAAGAAGAAGCUAAACAAACAAGCCAUGAUGGAUUCCCAUCUCAGCUUAUUACCAUUGGGACAUGUCCUUUUUGUCCAAUCACAUUUCUACAUGGCAGUACAGUCUUCAUCAAACCUAAGCAUUAAAAAAAAAGUUUUCUCUGGGUCUUUGGGUCUUUUGUUUCGGAAGGCUCCUGUAUUACAUAAAACUUUGUUAAAUAAAUUUGUUAUACUUUUUUCUUGUGAAUCUGUCUUUCAUCAUAGGGGUGUUAGCUGGGGACCUUGCAAUGAGUGAGGACAGGCAUUAC
rnacentral:lncRNA from 1 species